rnacentral:tRNA from 1 species
GCGGAGACAGCUCAGUUAGGAGAGCGUUAGACUAUAGAUCGAAAGUCCGUGGUUCGAUCCUGGGUUUCGGCA